AGAUUUGAUGGGAUGGACCAACACAAAGUAAAGCAUAGUUGUGAAGUUUAAGAGAAUGAAGUAUCUUGAUUAGUGAAUAGACAUGCCCCGUGUGGAGAUUAAUUUCUUCAUAAAUCCAGCUGUUCUGUAAAGGCCUCAGAGAUUUGUUGGAAAACAUUACUGAGCAAACAAGGUCAUAAAGACCAAGGAACACACCAGAAAGGUCAGGGAUAAAGUUGUGGAGAACUGUCUGGAAGAGAGCCAUUGUUGAAAGAAAGAGAAUCCCUGUUGGCAGUUUGCAACAAGCCAUAGAGUACACAGCAAGCUUUCCAACACGCUUGUGCCUAAAGGGAAUCUGGAUAAAGAUUCACAAUACUACAAUCCAGAUACUACAGGAGCGGUGCUCAUGCAACCUAUCUUGUUAAGCGAAAACUGUUUAGUGCACGAAAAAGAAGCAGAUCAACAGAAGAACCAGCAGAGAUGGCUGCAUUGGCUGUGGAGUUCAGAAAACCAAGUGGGCCAAACCAGCAGAUGACAUGGCUUCUAAUCAUCACUGCCUGUGGAAACUUCACACUGGACUUCAAGCAACGUGGAUUCUGGUCCUCCAGACUCUGAGACCUUGAUUUCUGAAUGAAAUGCAAACUUUACUUUCAUCUGAAAAGAGGACUUCAGACCACUGAGCAACAGCCCAGAUCUUUUUCUCCUUAGCCCAGGUAAGACCCUUGGAGUCCAUGUGUAGGAUUCAUCGGUGCAGAGUUGUUCUUGAUGCACCGGCUCCAGCCUCUGUCCACUCCUUGUAAUGCACCCUAAAUUCUUAUAUGGAUUUUGCUUGUGGUUAGCCUUUGUCCUACCUCACUUUUUCUUUCCAUUCAACUUUCUAUGAAUAUGCUAACAAAAGUUUACAUGCACGCCGUUCAGAUUGACAAUCGGCAUUAGGGCUGGACGAUAUAUCACAAAAAUAUCAUCGCGAUAAUGGCACGUGCAAUAUGUCUUAUCGCAAAUACAUGCGAUAAAUUCAUAAUUUUCUUGCACAUGUUUCGUGUUUAUCUGUGGUUGACCAAUCAGAUGCGCUCCUAAAUGCUCCCAGUAUUCCACCCCCAUACAUAUUCAUAUUGGCUAGGGCGGACCCAUAGGCUUACAAAGCACCUUGGCUGCAGCAUAGAGGGAAAGCAAUGGCGGACACGGGAGAAGAGGAUCCAAAUGUGGAUGAAAACAAUGUAUAACUUGUGCCGAUAAAAGAUUAGUACGUUUGAAAUAUGGGACUACUUUAGCUUUAGAAGAGAAGACGUAGCACAGACCCAGGUACUGUGCAAGUCAUGUCAAAAAAUAGUGGCUACGUCGAGAGGAAACAUGACUAAUCUACACAGUCACAUGGAGCACAACCACAAGACGCUAUAUGAAGUAUUCAAGUCUAAUACUCUCAAAACUGCCAAGGUGAAGGCAAGUUGUAAAAAGGCAAAUCCACAGGCAACUAUUAAUGACAGUUUUGCGAGUGUAACUCCUUACGAAGAAACUUAAACGCGCCACAAACCUAAUACCGCAGCUGUUGCACGUUAUGUGGCCAAAUGCACGAUACCACUUAGUACCAUGGGAAAACAUGCGUUAAAGUGCUAUCGCAAACUUACUUUUCCCAAGUUAUCAUUCCAUAGAUGUAUGAGGCAUGCGUAGCAACAGUACAGAAUGAACUGAGUCAAGUGGAUUUUUACAAUAGCACCACAUACCCUCUGGUCCAGUCGCACAACUGAACCCUAUAUGAGCUUUACUGUUUUCUCAACUAAGACCUCAAAUUAACAACACUGUGUCUAGAAGUUGCAUGCUUCCCCAAAUCCCACACGGAAAAAUAUAGCCAGCGUUCUAAGGGACGUUUUGGCAAAAUGGGGCUUGGAAGAAGAUAAACAAGUGGUUAUUACAGCAGACAACGGCACCAACAUAGUAAAAGCUACAGAAGUGGGUCAGACUACAGUGCUUUGGUCACCGCCUGCAUCUGGCUAUCAGUGAGUAUUUUUUAUACUGCAUUUUUUUAAAUUAAAGAUGCCUAAUUUUAACAUAAGAUUUGUAUAUUAGAAUAUAUUACAUCACAUUAUAUUUAAUUAAAUUCAAAAAUACUUUAUUAAUCCCAAAGGGAAAGUAUAUUAUAUUGCCUACAGCUAUUAACAUGCACAACAACUCGGUGAAAAACAUUUAAUUUCCCUUUGGUAUAAAUGAAGUAUUUUUAAAUUGAAUUGAAUUAGUUUAAAUGUAUUCGACCGUCACUGUGACGAGCACAUUUCGCGAGCUGUGGGACUUUGCAAGAAUUUAGUGGGGCAUUUUCCACACAGCUAGAAGGAGAAAACUGCACUAAAAAAGGCCCAGCAUGCACUCAUCACAGAAUGUCAGACUAGAUGGGGAUCCAGACAAAGUAUGAUUCAAAGAGUUCUUGAGCAGCAGAAGGCCAUAUGUGAUGUUUUAUCAACAGACUGAAGGUCAAGGCAUUUAGUCCCCACUUGGCAAGACCUAGAUGUCCUGGAGUCAAUUAACCAAACACUUCAGUCUCUGCAGAAGUUCACAGAUGCCCUUUCUGCUGAAAAAAUUGUGACGGUUUCAUAUGUGAAACUGGUACUUCACUUGAUGAAUGCUUCCCUUCUUGCUUCAAAGGACGAAGACAGUGACUUAAAAAAGUCCAUAAAGAAAAAUAUCCUAGAGUACAUGAACACAAAACGACCCAAUGACUCAAGAACUCCUGGACAUGACCUGCCUUGUGGACCCCAGAUUUAAAGUUGGCUACGUCAGUAGUGACAAGGUGCAAAAUCCUAGGAGGCAAGAUAACAGCAUGGAACCCCAGGAGCCACUCAAAAGAAGGCCAGAAAAAUCUUUAGCCAGUUUCUUCAAAACCUCUCCGGCAUCACAGUCUGUAGAGGCCGAGCCCAACACCUACCUGGUGUCUCCCACCAUAGACGCUGAGGAGAACCCUCUCUCGUGGUGGCAGCUCCAUCAACUCAACUUUCCACACUUGAACAAACUCGCCAGAAAAUACCUCUUCAUACCCGCAAGUAGCUCACCCAUAGAAAGACU